AUGGACGCAAGUCUGAUGGAGCAACGCCGCGUGAGUGAAGAAGGGUUUCGGCUCGUAAAGCUCUGUUGGUAGUGAAGAAAGAUAGAGGCAGUAACUGGCCUUUAUUUGACGGUAAUUACUUAGAAAGUCACGGCUAACUACGUGCCAGCAGCCGCGGUAAUACGUAGGUGGCAAGCGUUGUCCGGAUUUAUUGGGCGUAAAGCGAGUGCAGGCGGUUCAAUAAGUCUGAUGUGAAGGCCUUCGGCUCAACCGGAGAAUUGCAUCAGAAACUGUUGAACUUGAGUGCAGAAGAGGAGAGUGGAACUCCAUGUGUAGCGGUGGAAUGCGUAGAUAUAUGGAAGAACACCAGUGGCGAAGGCGGCUCUCUGGUCUGCAACUGACGCUGAGGCUCGAAAGCAUGGGUAGCGAACAGGAUUAGAUACCCUGGUAGUCCAUGCCGUAAACGAUGAGUGCUAAGUGUUGGGAGGUUUCCGCCUCUCAGUGCUGCAGCUAACGCAUUAAGCACUCCGCCUGGGGAAUACGACCGCAAGGUUGAAACUCAAAGGAAUUGACGGGGGCCCGCACAAGC
rnacentral:rRNA from 1 species